UACGAAGGGUGCAGGCGUUAAUCGGAAUUAUUGGGCGUAAAGAGCUCGUAGGCGGCUUGUCACGUCGGAUGUGAAAGCCCGGGGCUUAACUCCGGGUCUGCAUUCGAUACGGGCUGGCUAGAGUGUGGUAGGGGAGAUCGGAAUUCCUGGUGUAGCGGUGAAAUGCGCAGAUAUCAGGAGGAACACCGGUGGCGAAGGCGGAUCUCUGGGCCAUUACUGACGCUGAGGAGCGAAAGCUAGGGGAGCGAACAGG
rnacentral:rRNA from 1 species